AUACAGAAAUCUUGUUGACCCUCUAGGGCAUUCUGCAGAGAUUCAAGAAGGUUCAUGCCAUGGUAGCAGAGUAAAGGACAGUCUAAAUCUAGACUUACUCUAACAAGGUUUAAAAACAAUAUGUGAAAGCAAAAGCUGAUUCACAAGCAACUUAAAUGUUGAACAAAACAAGCUGUCACAUUCUUUAAAGGAAGACAGCAAAAUCUAGAUAUUUAAUAAUGUAAAACUUACAAUGUCCAGCAUCCAAUAAAAAAUACUAGAUAUGCAAAGAAACAGAAAAAUGUCACCCAUAUCUGGAAUAAUAAUCAGUCAGUAGAAAUGAAUCCAAAAGUUAUAGAGAUGAUGUAAUUAGAUGACAAGAACUCUAAAAUUGCUAUUAUAAAUAUUUCGAAGUAUCUAAAGAAUAAUAUAAACACAAUGAGUCAAGAAAUAACCAAAUGGAAAUUCUAGAGAUGAAAAAUGAAGUAUCUGAAAUACAAUAUUCAUCUGAUGGACUUAACAACAGAACAAAAGAUUAGCAAACUUGCAACUAACCAACUGAAGACAUGUAGAUAAAAGAGGCAUAAGACAAAAAAUAAACAGAGCCUCAAUUACCUUGAGAAAAUAUGAAAUAGUAUAAUAUGUAUAUAAUUAGAGACCCAGAAAAAGGAGGGAAGAAAAAUUAUUUAAGAAAUAAUUGCCAUUUUUUUCCCCAAGGAUCUCAACAGGACAAACACAAAGAAAAUAUCAAGGUGCAUCAUAGACAAAUUAUUGAAAAUCAGCAAUAAGGAGAAAACCUUAAAAACAGCAAGAUAAAAAGAUGCAUUAUGUGUAAAAUUAAAAAAGAAAACAAUGAUUGCUGAGUUCUCAUCAUACCAAUGCACAAAAGACAACAGAACAAUAUCUUUAAUGUGUGAAAAGUAAGAAAAAAAUGUCAAACUAAAUUUUACAUUCAGGAAAAAUAUUCUUUGAAAAUAGAAGACAAUGAGAUUUCUGAUUUGUGGUUAUCACUCCAUUCUCAUAAUAAGAAAAAAUCUGAAAAAACUGGAAAUCCACAACUCUUCUUAAAAUUGAGGUAACAGGGCAAGCCACUACCUUGAAUCUUAGAGACAGGAGGAUACAAAGAAUUCAGCUUAAAGAAAGAAGGAAGCCUUGGAGGAGAAGCCUGGUGCUGGAGCCUGUACCACUUUCCACAACAUCAACUGUGCUACUGUAUAAUAACGGGGCAUUAUAGCCAAAAGAACUGUAAGCCUCAGACCCUAUUUAAGGAAGAGUCUCCAGGGAAAUCUAAAAAUAACAGGGAAGACUAAAACAAGGACACCCAGAGAAAAUGUUAGCCUCUGAUAUGUACAGCUAUAGCAACUGGCAAACACAAUGUAACUCCUAGCCAGAUCAACAUUAAACCUCACACAAAAGGUCUAUUUACUUCAUUUCCUUCUAAUUGAUACAUCCUCUCAGGCUGUCAACAAGAAACUAAAGAUGUGAAAAUGCAAAAACUCUGUCUGAAGAGAGAAAGCAUGCAUUAGACUCAGACUGGCAGAAAUUUUGAAUGAUCAAACCAGAUAUUUAAAAUAACUAUGAUUAAAAUGCUAGCAGAAUGGAAAAAGUAAACAACCUGCACAAAUGGAAGGCAAAACAAAGACAUUUUCAAAUAAGCAAAAGGUGAUAGAAUGUGUCAUCCACAGACCUGCACUAUAAAAAACAGUAGAAGAAGUUCUUCAGUAUGAAAAUGAAUGAUACAAGAUGGAAACUGAGAUCUACAAAAUGAAACAUCAUUGGAAAUAGUAAAUACAUGGAUUUGCUGCCAGUUUUCCAUCCAUCCCCCGGGGCUGAGAUGAGGUGAGAGAUCCACUUUUCACCUUUCUCCUUACCUGCUUUGUGCUUCGGGAAACUGACUUCAACUGACAGCAUCAUCUGGGCUUCUUUACCCUGUAGUGUUCAGCUGAGUUCAGCCAAUGGAAUACCCUAGUAGAAGACUGGAAGGAUAGAGGAGAGAAAGAUUGGAAUAUUUAUUCCCAUCUCAUACUACAGUUUUUGUCGUGAUGGUUCUUCCUAUUGGACAGCUUCCACCUAUAACUACAGUUCUCUCCUGGUUCCAGAAACUGCUUUCUCUACUUCUGACCUAGGAGUAGCCACAGCUCCCAGCUGUUGUUAGACCCCAAGGUGUAUUUUGUCAUCUCUUGUUACUUCCUUUAACCCUGCCACAGCUCUGAAAAUAGUCCAGUAAUUAAAUAUUUUGAGCUAUUU